rnacentral:rRNA from 1 species
UCCAGACUCCUACGGGAGGCAGCAGUGGGGAAUAUUGCACAAUGGGGGAAACCCUGAUGCAGCAACGCCGCGUGAGUGAAGAAGUAUUUCGAUAUGUAAAGCUCUCUCAGCAGGGAAGAAGAUGACGGUACCUGAUUAAGAAGCCCCGGCUAACUACGUGCCAGCAGCCGCGGUAAUACGUAGGGGGCAAGCGUUAUCCGGAUUUACUGGGUGUAAAGGGAGCGUAGACGGCAUAGCAAGUCUGAAGUGAAAGCCCAAGGCUCAACCAUGGGACUGCUUUGGAAACUGUUAAGCUAGAGUGCGGGAGGGGCAGGCGGAAUUCCUGGUGUAGCGGUGAAAUGCGUAGAUAUCAGGAGGAACACCGGCGGCGAAGGCGGCCUGCUGGACCGCGACUGACGUUGAGGCUCGAAAGCGUGGGGAGCGAACAGGAUUAGAUACCCGUGUAG